UACGGAGGGGCUAGCGUUGUUCGGAAUUACUGGGCGUAAAGCGCGCGCAGGCGGCUAUCCAAGUCAGUGGUGAAAGCCCGGAGCUCAACUCCGGAACUGCCAUUGAAACUGUUUAGCUUGAGGACGAGAGAGGUGAGUGGAAUUCCCAGUGUAGAGGUGAAAUUCGUAGAUAUUGGGAAGAACACCGGUGGCGAAGGCGGCUCACUGGCUCGUAUCUGACGCUCAGGCGCGACAGCGUGGGGAUCAAACAGG
rnacentral:rRNA from 1 species